rnacentral:misc_RNA from 1 species
GAUGAAAAACGUAGCGAAAUGCGAUAAGUAAUGUGAAUUGCAGAAUUCAGUGAAUCAUCGAAUCUUUGAACGCACAUUGCGCCCGCCAGUAUUCUGGCGGGCAUGCCUGUUCGAGCGUCAUUUCAACCAUCAAGCCCCCGGCUUGUGUUGGGGACCUGCGGCUGCCGCAGGCCCAGAAAAGCAGUGGCGGGCUCGCUGUCACACCGAGCGUAGUAGCAUACAUCUCGCUCUGGGCGUGCUGCGGGUUCCGGCCGUUAAACCACCUUCAUAACCCAAGGUUGACCUCGGAUCAGGUAGGAAGACCCGCUGAACUUAAGCAUAUCAAUAAGCGGAGGA